rnacentral:rRNA from 1 species
AUUCCAGCUCCAAUAGCGUAUAUUAAAGUUGUUGCAGUUAAAAAGCUCGUAGUCGGAUUUUGGCAUCACGCCGAACUGUCUGCCGAUUGGUAAGUACGGUUUGGCGGGUGCUUCCUUCCGGAGGCUCGUUCCCUUCUUCAUUGAAGGGUUCGUUGGUUCCGGGUCUUUUACUUUGAGAAAAUUAGAGUGUUCAAAGCAGGCCUAUGCUCUGAAUAGGUUAGCAUGGAAUAAUAGAAUAGGACUUUGGUUCUAUUUUGUUGGUUUCUAGGACCGAAGUAAUGAUUAAUAGAGACAGUUGGGGGCAUUCAUAUUCCAUUGUCAGAGGUGAAAUUCUUGGAUUAACGGAAGAUGAACUUCUGCGAAAGCAUCUGCCAAGGAUGUUUUCAUCA